CUGGACGGCCUGCCUUCAUCGCACGCUUGUUGCCUUCUGUCUAACUUUCACUAUGCAUGAACGUUCCCGUUCACGGUCAGCUGCACGCGCCUGGGCGUACACUCGAAGCUCGCAAGACGCCAAAGUGUUAUCAAAGAUUUGUUUUGGGUCACGCCGGAGGCGAUAGUGCCAAUAGACUUCCCUGCCAUUCGCAAAGAAACGUUUGCGAAGUUCUGCAUGCCAAAUCAAGGAAGGCCGUCGCAUACCUCAGCGAUUAAUUUACAUCACCUGGGAUUCUUUGAACGUGAAACUGAAAUCUCGGUUACCUGGCACCUUCUCUCCAGCUAGGAUUCCAACCCACCAACUGGGGAUUCGAUUCUUUGGGCCGGCGGUUUGCCUCGGAGCCACAGAUGCGGCCUCCCUGCAGCUGUCUGUGACCAUUCACGUCCGAGUGGGCAGCGCACACCCACCCACAACCCACUGCUCGCACCUCUCGUUUGCGUACCUCGCAUAACCAUUUCCCAAAGUCAUGGCACGAAAUGGGAAGCCAUUAUUAAUCGAGCGAUCAGUAAUGAAGAGAUCAAACAGGCAGAACAUAAAAAGACUACAUUUCAAGAUGCUGAAGGAGGCAGCGACUCUAACGCCUGCUGUCAGGCUUGGCUGGCCAUGAGGGCCAAGUAUGCGAGAGAAUCGAAGAAACAAAGAGGCCGGAGCGGUGCUGGCCGCGAUGGUCUUGCCGUGCCAACAUGGCACCUCUUCAAGUAACUGGCCUUCCUUAAGGGCCAGAUUCAGCACCGACGCACCAAAGUGCUCCCUGUUGCGGGGGGAGUGGCGUCCACUUCUGCAGCGGCAGCAGACGUUGAAAAAUGAGGCUUGAGCCCAGAGGCAAGUUUGCUUACACGCUACCGGUCUUUAUUCGGAGUGCAGACAAGCUGGCUAAGUUGACGUCAACCAGUUGGUGGCCAAAAUUACCUUCAGGGCUCCUAUUUUGGUCAUGGGCUUGGAGGUGAUCGAAUGUCACAGAAUGUGGAAGGCCAUCCGCAACCGCUAUGUUAAGAGACGAGAGCGGCGAAAGGCAAGAGUAAAGCUGGCGAGGAGGAUGUCCAGCCUCCCACGUGGGUUCUUUUCAAGUUCCUGGGGUUCCCCGAUGGUCAAAUCUGUGCAGAUGGUAGGCACAGAAUGUUUUGGACAACAAAGGGCACUGCAGAUUGUGCCGUAUUUUGUAUGCAUUGUAACGAUGACGUGGCAGAACCCUGGUUUGUCCCAAGACAAAAGGAGCCUCACACAACACCAUGUCUACAAACUGGAGUGAAGGAGCCCCCACUUCCGUGCCAGGAGAGAUCCUUGCGGAAAUGUAUUGCCCUGGAGAGACCGCAACCCCCGCAGAAAAUAGACAGCCUGGGAUGCCUGCUGAUGCCGAGAUGGAAGACAUACUGUAGCAUGAAGACAUACAUUUUAUUUAACAACUGCCUUCGAUAAGCAUGUUUGCAAGUGGCUCCUGUGUAAUUACCCUUUUCUCACUCUCCUCUUUCAUUUAAGCGAUUGGCUAUUCUUGGAGGCAGGUCCAAA
rnacentral:lncRNA from 1 species